rnacentral:rRNA from 1 species
UAAAGGAAGCGAUUCCGGCUACGGAUGGUCAUGCGUCGCAUUAGCUUGUUGGCGGGGUAACGGCCCACCAAGGCGACGAUGCGUAGGGGUUCUGAGAGGAAGGUCCCCCACACUGGUACUGAGACACGGACCAGACUCCUACGGGAGGCAGCAGUGAGGAAUAUUGGUCAAUGGCCGCAGGGCUGAACCAGCCAAGUCGCGUGAGGGAUGACGGUCCUAUGGAUUGUAAACCUCUUUUGUCAGGGAGCAAAGGGCGCCACGUGUGGCGCUUUGCGAGUACCUGAAGAAAAAGCAUCGGCUAACUCCGUGCCAGCAGCCGCGGUAAUACGGAGGAUGCGAGCGUUAUCCGGAUUUAUUGGGUUUAAAGGGUGCGCAGGCGGAAUGUCAAGUCAGCGGUAAAAUUUCGGGGCUCAACCCCGUCGUGCCGUUGAAACUGGCGUUCUUGAGUGAGCGAGAAGUAUGCGGAAUGCGUGGUGUAGCGGUGAAAUGCAUAGAUAUCACGCAGAACUCCGAUUGCGAAGGCAGCAUACCGGCGCUCAACUGACGCUCAUGCACGAAAGCGUGGGUAUCGAACAGGAUUAGAUACCCUGGUAGUCCACGCAGUAAACGAUGAAUACUAACUGUCCGGGCAGAAUGAUGCCUGG